rnacentral:ncRNA from 1 species
AGUUAAGCAACGACAGGGAAGAGUACGAUUCUAUCUGCUUUAAGAGAGGGGAGCCAGUAGCUGGAAGGUUUCCUAAGCAGACAAUCAGAAGGUCGCCCUCGAGCUUCUUCUAUGAACGGAUAUUACAUCCUAUUAGUAGAGGACGGAUUCAAUCCGUUAUCCGAUGAAGUGCCAAUCAUUAUUUUUGAUUGGAAAAAAGGUGGUACCGCGAAACAAACUCCAUUCGUCCUUUUA